rnacentral:rRNA from 1 species
AGUGAAAUCGAGUAGGACGGGACACGUGAUAUCCUGUUUGAACAUGGGGGGACCAUCCUCCAAGGCUAAAUACUCCUGACUGACCGAUAGUGAACCAGUACCGUGAGGGAAAGGCGAAAAGAACCCCUGUGAGGGGAGUGAAAUAGAACCUGAAACCGUGUACGUACAAGCAGUAGGAGCCCACUUGUUGGGUGACUGCGUACCUUUUGUAUAAUGGGUCAGCGACUUAAUUUUAGUAGCAAGGUUAACCGUUUAGGGGAGCCGUAGGGAAACCGAGUCUUAACUGGGCGUCAUAGUUGCUAGGAUUAGACCCGAAACCGAGUGAUCUAGCCAUGGGCAGGUUGAAGGUGAGGUAACACUUACUGGAGGACCGAACCGACUAAUGUUGAAAAAUUAGCGGAUGACUUGUGGCUAGGGGUGAAAGGCCAAUCAAACUCGGAGAUAGCUGGUUCUCCCCGAAAGCUAUUUAGGUAGCGCCUCGGACGAAUACUACUGGGGGUAGAGCACUGUUAAGGCUAGGGGGUCAUCCCGACUUACCAACCCUUUGCAAACUCCGAAUACCAGUAAGUAAUAUCCGGGAGACACACGGCGGGUGCUAACGUCCGUCGUGAAGAGGGAAACAACCCAGACCGCCAGCUAAGGUCCCAAAGUUAUAGCUAAGUGGGAAACGAUGUGGGAAGGCUCAGACAGCCAGGAUGUUGGCUUAGAAGCAGCCAUCAUUUAAAGAAAGCGUAAUAGCUCACUGGUCGAGUCGGCCUGCGCGGAAGAUUUAACGGGGCUAAGCUAUACACCGAAGCUGCGGCAAU